AUAGAUCCCCGGUAGUCCACGCCGUAAACGAUGAGUGCUAAGUGUUAGAGGGUUUCCGCCCUUUAGUGCUGCAGCUAACGCAUUAAGCACUCCGCCUGGGGAGUACGGUCGCAAGACUGAAACUCAAAGGAAUUGACGGGGGCCCGCACAAGCGGUGGAGCAUGUGGUUUAAUUCGAAGCAACGCGAAGAACCUUACCAGGUCUUGACAUCCCACUGACCGGUAUAGAGAUAUACCUUUCCCUUCGGGGACAGUGGUGACAGGUGGUGCAUGGUUGUCGUCAGCUCGUGUCGUGAGAUGUUGGGUUAAGUCCCGCAACGAGCGCAACCCUUGAUCUUAGUUGCCAGCAUUUAGUUGGGCACUCUAAGGUGACUGCCGGUGACAAACCGGAGGAAGGUGGGGAUGACGUCAAAUCAUCAUGCCCCUUAUGACCUGGGCUACACACGUGCUACAAUGGAUGGUACAAAGGGCUGCAAGACUGCGAAGUCAAGCCAAUCCCAUAAAACCAUUCUCAGUUCGGAUUGCAGG
rnacentral:rRNA from 1 species